GUUUUAAUAUAUUCAAUAAAAUCUGUUCAUGUGAGCAGUAGCAUACGUUUCUUUCAUUGUACGCUCAGGAAGAUAAGCAGAAAAGGAAGAAAAAUGGUGGGUGUUGGAGGAAAAAGAGUAUUCCUGCUUAUCCUGACCAUCAUCCUUGUCCUUUCGCAGUCUUCUGUCGCUGACAAAGGUUUUAGCGAAGUGAGUAAUGUACCAAGAGCCGGAUCUGAGAAUGCAUCCAUUUCAAAAGUUGAAGAAGAUGGUACGACCAUAUCAAAUAGAAAGCUGAGUCCUAAAAUAAAGCAAUGUCUUUGUUGUAAGAUUCGUAAAACACCUGAAUGUUGUAUUAAGUGUUGUACUCAGCAGAUUUGCUAUUGAACAAUCAAUUUUAGACACCAUCUUUGGUGGAUAGAAAUAGUUUUUAUAUCUAAAUAAAUGCUAAAGAUUUCAUAUUGUUUCA